UGGACAGAUUAUUAUAUUCGACUGUAUUCAAGGCGUGAAAUAGGGGAUUACACUUUUUUAAAAUGGAAAGUGAAUCAAUUAACAUAAUAGACUCCU
rnacentral:pre_miRNA from 1 species